UACCUGGUUGAUUCUGCCAGUAGUCAUAUGCUUGUCUCAAAGAUUAAGCCAUGCAUGUCUAAGUAUAAGCAAUCUAUACGGUGAAACUGCGAAUGGCUCAUUAAAUCAGUUAUCGUUUAUUUGAUAGUACCUUACUACUUGGAUACCCGUGGUAAUUCUAGAGCUAAUACAUGCUGAAAGCCUCGACUUCGGAAGGGGUGUAUUUAUUAGAUAAAAAACCAAUGCCCUUCGGGGCUCCUUGGUGAUUCAUAAUAACUUGUCGAAUCGCAUGGCCUUGCGCCGGCGAUGGUUCAUUCAAAUUUCUGCCCUAUCAACUUUCGAUGGUAUGAUAGUGGCCUACUAUGGUGGCAACGGGUAACGCGGAAUUAAGGUUUCGAUUCCGGAUAAGGGAGCCUGAGAGAUGGCCUACCCCAUUCUAAGGAAAGGCAGCGAGCGGCGCAAAAUUACCCAAUCCCGAUACGGGCAGUUUAGUGACAAAAUAUAUACUUGAUACCCCGGCAUCUUUUCGGGUACUAGGAUAUUGCAAUGAAGGACAAUUAAAAAUCACUUAAACGAAAGAAACAAUUGGACGUGAAGAACCUGGGGCCCAACGACCAGCCGCAACUUCCUGCUUCCCCAAUAAGCAUA
rnacentral:ncRNA from 1 species